AUUGAACGCUGGCGGCAUGCCUUACACAUGCAAGUCGAACGGCAGCACGGGUGCUUACACCUGGUGGCGAGUGGCGAACGGGUGAGUAAUACAUCGGAACGUACCUUAUCGUGGGGGAUAACGCAGCGAAAGCUGUGCUAAUACCGCAUACGCCCUGAGGGGGAAAGUGGGGGAUCGAAAGACCUCGCGCGAUUAGAGCGGCCGAUGCCUGAUUAGCUUGUUGGUGGGGUAAAAGCCCACCAAGGCGACGAUCAGUAGCUGGUCUGAGAGGACGAUCAGCCACACUGGGACUGAGACACGGCCCAGACUCCUACGGGAGGCAGCAGUGGGGAAUUUUGGACAAUGGGGGCAACCCUGAUCCAGCAAUGCCGCGUGAGUGAAGAAGGCCUUUGGGUUGUAAAGCUCUUUUGUCAGGGAAGAAACACCGGCUCUAACACAGUCCGGGAAUGACGGUACCUGAAGAAUAAGCACCGGCUAACUACGUGCCAGCAGCCGCCGUAA
rnacentral:rRNA from 1 species